GUGUUUCAUAAAACGUUUUAGUGAUUGGAACUUUUAAAAGCUCACCCGCAAAAUUUUGGUGAGCGAAGAAUUACAAGAUACUUUUUCAUGCGUUAAGGUAGAUCAUUUAUUUAUUUACAGUCAUCUUUAUCAAUCAGAAACAGUCUUUCUUGCCUUAGCAAAGAGGUGAAGCAGUUGUCAUGGGAUAUUUAUGGUGUUAACUUCUUGUUCACUACUUGUUCAGACACGCAUGAAUUCAAUAUUUCAAUGUUAUUCAUCUGUUCAUAUGCUUUCUGAAAUGUCAAAAUAUUUUUUCAAACACAACAGGAUUAUUUCUGUAAACCAACCAAUUAACUAUUUCAUUCAACACAUAAGUGAAAACAAGAGUAUUAUUUUUUUGGUCCUCUUUACUGUGGAAACAGGUUUCUACAAAUUUCAUAGUUUUGCCAAAACGGCAAAAGGGUAUGAUGACAUCUGGAUGAGGAUUUGCCACCGCUUCAACUCCAAUAUUCAAAUAGAUAAACACAAUCUAAUUAUCUGAUUGGUCAAUCUUCAGCUGUGAUGCAAGCAUGAAAUUAUGUAAGCUUCAACUCCAAUAUUCAAAUAGAUAAACACAAUCUAAUUAUCUGAUUGGUCAAUCUUCAGCUGUGAUGCAAGCAUGAAAUUAUGUUACAUAAUUUCAUGCUUGCAUCACAGCUGAAGAUUGACAAAUCAUGCAAGCAUGAAAUUAUGUUACAUAAUUUCAUGCUUGCAUCACAGCUGAAGAUUGACCAAUCAGAUAAUUAGAUUGUGUUUAUCUAUUUGAAUAUUGGAGUUGAAGUGGUGGCAAAUCCUCGGGUUUUACCAUAUAUAGGUACACAAACUUAAAACUCAAUUUAUUUUUUUGUUGAAUCAUUAAAAUUAAAUUUGAGAUGUUUUUUCAAAUCUCCUUAUCAUAUUAGACAUGUGUUUUAAAAAUCGUUGUGAUAUCUUUUACCGUUUGGUUUUAAAUUGGAAUUAAAAAUUGUAUUUUCCCAUAGAGUUUGAGGUAAAGUCCCGAGAAUUUCACCUCCUAGAAAUUUAAAGUGCCAGGAUGUUCGAAAAUAUGUAAUUAAUGUUGUUUGGUUGCUGUCUAAUAAAAGAACAUGUAUUGCCCACAACUCCACAUACCUCUUAUCCACCAAAUGGCUCGAAAAUCUACAAAAUAUGUUUUCUAAACAAGUUGAGAUUGACAAAAUUUAUAAAGCCUGUAUUGUAAUAUACAUAAGUUUAAAAGGGAUACAUACACGGUCAUGUGGUAUUGCUUUUUACUCAUUGUAAUCACAUUUAAAAUUUGAAAAAAUAGUUUUGGCGAAAUAGGCAAUAUUUUUGGGAAAAGAACAUGAUUAGAGAAAUGGCCUAACAGCUGAACCCUUAUAUUGCUGUUAAAACUAUUCUAUACUAUUUGAAAGGUUUUGCCUAAUAUUUCAAGAACUAUAAUAAAUAUACAUAAAUAAAAGAAGAUAUGGUAUGAGUGCCAAUGAGACAACUCUCCAUUCAGGUCACAAUUAGUAAAAUUAAACCAUUAUAGGUCAAAAUACAGUCUUCAACAUAGAGCCUUGGCUUACUCCAAACAUAAAAUUAUGUACAUGUAUACUCAUAUACUGCAACUACAAGCAACAAUAAUGUUUGGCAAUAUCAAAAUUGCAUAAUGGCAAUUGAUUGAAACAAUCUUUCUAAUCAUUUUCUAAUUCUAGUGGGAGUUUUGACCAAGGAGUUUUGACCACAUAAUAAAAUUUUGACCAAUUUUUGCUUUUCUGCUGGUUAUCUUAAAAGCACUGUUUAUAAACCUAAACUGUUAAUAGUAUAUAUAUAUGAUCAGCAAGUGUGUGUAAUGACUUAUAGAUGGCAAAAUACACAAUAAGCCUGAAACUUUUGAUUGACUGUUAAUUUGAGUUAUUCCCCUUUAAUGGUGAAUUUCAUUGGUGGUAUAGAGGUUGAAUGCUAGUCUGAAAGGUACAACAUUUGGGUAAAAAGUAUUUGAGGCUUUUCCACUUAAGCAUUGAGGAUAAAGAGCAAAAACAUGUGGGUUGUGAGGCAAAAAUAAAGAGUAACAUGGCUUCCUACUGACUGAACUACAUAUAUAUACUUUCUGUAAUUUUUUUUUUAAACAUCAUUGAUAUAAUCCUUAGUUUUACCUGUAAUUUUUAACAGUCUUACUUUUUUUCUGGAUGAUUGAGUUCGCGCCAUUUUAGCUUUCCACGUGAAGGCUAUUGCAAUGGUUGAUGCCAGAAUGAGUGUUUCUGAUGUCGUGGCUUGAUUAAAUGUACAUAAGUCAACAGUUUAGUGACUAACAAACAGAUAUCGACAAAUUGCAACUGCAUGGGAUAGGUCGAUAUUUCGUAGACCAAGAAAAACUAUCGUCAAGGGAGGAGCGCCACUUUCGCUUUUCAUCAACAAGUGCUAAGUUUUUUCCGGCCACAAGAGUAGUGCAUUGACUAAGGGCAGCUGCUGGUGUGCCUGCCAUUCCUUCAUUGAUGCACUUAGGACAUGGACGAGAAAUGGAUUUUGAAUAACACUAUACUCAUUUUCGCAUUUUGACCCUCGCGCGCUCCAUACAAAGAAAAUCCUAAUGAAUGUGAGUGAUAAACAUUCAUGAUGCUUCUGACAUGUCAUAAUUUCAUUUUUUUAUUAUUUAAAUCAUAUGUUGUUACAAUUUUGUAAUAAAAUAAAAUUUCAUAUUUUUGUUUCUAAACUUUUUUGGCUCAGUAUACAUGUAUGUAAAAAUGUAUACAUGUACUUAAAUGCACAUACAAAUUUAGUUUAGUCUGUCAGUGUUGUAAACAGACUUGAUAUUCAUAUCACAUUAAGAUGUUCUGUUGUAUACUAUGGUACAAUUAUAUAAUAAUAUCGAAAAAAAAUCCAGAAAUACUAAACCUCAUAAAUUUUUGGAAAUGUUUAGAAAUUUAUCAGUCUUUUCUGGUACCCUUUUAAAAUUCAGGAGGUGAAAAGGUUCAAGUUUUUGUUCUCUCGGUCUUUCAUUUCAUUAGUUUUUGUUUUGCUUUAUUUAAAAGGCACUUACAGUAAAGUUAAUUUGGUAAUUUAUUUUCUUUGAAACUUUUCUUUAAAGUUAAGUCAUUUUCAAAAUGUCCAAUUCAAGUAAUUGUUAGUUUAAAAGGAGACAUAAAGAAGAGUUUAUACAUUUUAAAAUUUUGUUAUUUAUGAAAUUAAAAGGUUAAGCCUUAUCAUAAAUAUACCUUUCAGUAGUGGGACCAAUGAACCAUGAAAUGGCUGUUUACUUUCAAUGAAAAAAAAAUUAUAAGAAAUUGAUGAAAGAGAUAAUAAAUACAGAAGGCAGAGAAUCUUUUGAGCGCAAUGUUAAUUUUUCGUUGGUUGUAUCUAAUUUACUUCAAGAUAUUAUUUUCAAUGCAGAAUGAUAGCUUGCUCUUUGGUCAGAUUGUUGUCUCUUUGACAUAUUCCCCAUUUCCAUUCUCACAAUAAUUUAGGAGGGGGUCUUUUAGGAAUUUGACAAAAUAUUUGUUUUUGAAAAGCAUGAGAAAUGCAGGGUAUCCAAAUUGAUUUGAUGACAUCUUUGCGUUAUUAAAUAUAAAAAUAAGUUAUAUUUGAAAAUAAAGAUUACUUAAAAUUUUAGUUAGAUAAAUAAAACAACAGUCUUCUAUUGGGUAAACAUGAAAUAACAUCUUUUUUCCAAAUUUAUUUAUGAAAUUAUAAGGUCAAACAUAACACAGAUUAAUUUAUACUGUUUAAUAGUUGUGAAGCCAGUGAAAUGAUUGUUUACUUUCAAAACUAAAAACAACUAUUAAUAAAAUAUUGAUUAUAGAGAGUAAAUGCCAAAGGAUGCAUGAUAGCUGAAUAGAGCUGUCAAGGUAGAUGUAAGCAUGACAGAAGCUGUUUGUUUUUUAACGUCAAUACCCUUGCUACUAAUAAAAAAAGGACCAGAAAACAUGGAAAAAAUUAGGGUUAUUAUUUGUUUUAUCAGAUGAAAAGCGUGAUAAUUGUUUGCUUCUGGGAAUUAUAAUGAAAUAUUAAAUGUCUUUAUUUCUAGCUAAUAUAAUUAAAUAUUAAACCUACUUUAGUUGGAAGUGUGACUAAUAAACCAUGAAAUGAUUGUUUACUUUAAAUAAAGAAAAUAAACAAAAUCUUGAUUAAAGGAAUGGUAAAUACCUGUGGAUGGAUAUUAUAGUAAACAGUAACAUGUUAGAAGUUGUUUUGUAAUGUCAAUUUCUGUGUAAUUCUAUAAGUAGCCAUUAAAGUUAUACAUAUGGUUUUAGAUUUUAUAAUUAUUGUCAAGUUUCAAGUUUUUCAAAAGAGAGGUAAAAAUAACUUUAAAGUGCAUUUAAUUUAUUAUCACUAUUUAAUUAUUUUUAAAGACUUGAAAACAGACUUAUUAAAAAAAACAGGUUUAAAAGGUUAUAUGGGAAAGCAUCCUGGUUAUGAUUGCUAGUUUGAAGUUUUUAUAUGAAUCUGUUAGCAUGGAUCUUAAUUUAGCACAGGAUCUACAUAAAAAAAGUGAUUAGCAUUUAAUGUUUGUUAUAUUAACAGCAGGUUAUACAUGUAUUAUCCAGAGACAAACUCUGGAAGGUGCCAAAUUUUCCCAGUGGACCUGCCAGAAAUUAAUGCCCAGUGUUAAUUACUUUUGUUUAUUAUUUUCAUAAUUAUUUGGCCAGUCAGUUAAGGAUUUUAUUAUAUACAUGUACACAGUGAAUACCGGUCAUGUGUUAACCUGCUCUGACAUCUUAUGAAUAUUCCUAUUGUAUUUGUGCAGGAAAUUUACACUUUAACUUUUAAGGAUAAAUGUAUGUAUUGACGAAAAAUUCUUAAAUUUAUAGUUAACAAGGUGUAAAUUUUUAUAACUAUGUGGUAAGAGUCGAAAGGUGUGCUUGGAUCCGUGCCAAACAGUUGCUGGUAUCCGAAAGACAAAUUUGCAUUUCUGUAUUCAGGUACUCGAAUCUUUUCCUUAAGGACAAUAUUUAAAAUGAUUUCGGAAUAGACGAACUAAAAGUAAUAAUUUGAAUCCAUUCUCUAAUUUAAAAGGCAUGAUUACCCUAGAAUUUAAAUGUUUCUUUAUCUUUAGUUUCACUUGCAUUUUGAUUAUUAAUCCCGUUAGAUUUUCCCUAGCAGGUAUUUUAUUGGUGAUAUUCAAUAAUCGUGUUCGAACAUGAUUUUCAAUAUAGAAAUUAUGUCCAUUUAUAGGUAAAUGGUAUUUACACCUUGCCAAUGACCGUAUUGAAUGAUUUUAAAGUGAAUAUAUCUAAACUACUGGAUGUAAAAACAUUUGCCAAACGUAAGUAAACGGGAUGAAAGAAAUUUUGAUGAAUGUUUAACAUGUCAAAUAUUUUACCAUUAUGAAAUAAUCCUGUCGUGUUAUGACUGAAUUUUAUUUAUUAUUUACAUCAAUAUUUUUACAUAUAUUGAAAUAUAUUUGUCACACAAUUAUUUGUUAAUGUUUGUCUACCUGUAAAAUGCACAUGUUUGAAAAUACAGGUAAAUGAUUUAUGUCUGAUAACUUCAUUAUUGCACAUAACACUGUUUUGGCGGUAUGUAUUUAAUUAUAAGUAUUUGCAUGUAAGCAUACACUGUUAGAGAUUGUGUAAUUUUAAUAUGUACAAUUUUAAAAUUAGAACAUGUGUUUUUAUAUUGAAUUUUAAGCUGAUUACGUCAUUAUUUUCAAAAUAUUGAGACCCUAUUACAUUCAAUGAAUUACUGGGUAUACACUUAGGCAUUUGAUAAGCUUCAUGGUUGCUAGUUUACUAUUUAAACCAACUGUUCAUGCACUAAUUAUACAAUUGUGUGAAACAAUUUAGCAUGUUUAGCCUAGAUAUUUCAUUUAUGAUUGCAUUCACAGGAGUUAGAAACAUGUUAGACUGACAACACACAAAGAAAGAUGGAGAGACGACACUCAGGAUCCCUCUCCUCUCUUUCAGGGGGGCCACGCCACCAGGCACCCCCAGGACUUCUACAGAUGGGAAACCAAAGGGGGCAGGGAUACAGAUGCAAAUUCAGCAACUAGCAAGU
rnacentral:lncRNA from 1 species